CCUACGGGCGGCAGCAGUGGGGAAUCUUGCGCAAUGCCCGAAAGGGUGACGCAGCGACGCCGCGUGGAGGAUGAAGGCCUUCGGGUUGUAAACUCCUUUCAGCAGGGACGAAGCCGCAAGGUGACGGUACCUGCAGAAGAAGCCCCGGCUAACUACGUGCCAGCAGCCGCGGUAAUACGUAGGGGGCAAGCGUUGUCCGGAUUUAUUGGGCGUAAAGAGCACGUAGGCGGUCUGUCAAGUCAGGGGUGAAAACUCUGGGCUAAACUGGGAGACUGCACUUGAAACUGGCAGACUAGAGUCCAAGAGAGGGAAGUGGAAUUCCUGGUGUAGCGGUAAAAUGCGCAGAUAUUAGGAAGAACCCCAGUGGCGAGGGCGGCUUCCGGGAUUGCGACUGACGCUGAGGUGCGAAAGCUAGGGGAGCAAACAGGUUUAGAUACCCCUGUAGU
rnacentral:rRNA from 1 species